CUCUCCUCCUUCUCUCUACUUUCUCUCUCUAAAUUUUCUCCGAUUCUCUGCAUGUUUUCAGAGAGUUCAAAAGCACGAGUCCAGGCAAUAAGUUAACUUUAGUUGCCUAAAUGGUGAAAUUUGGAAUAACGACAAUUUAAGGUUCUUUGCAUAAUUGGGACGAGUUAUUGCAUAUAUUAGACAAGAUCCACAAACUUGUAAAUAAAUUGAAAGGGGCGGUGGGUAGAUAAAGAAAAAAUAAGUAAUAGCUAAUAAAAUAUAUAUUUUUUUAGUUGAAGGAUGCAAUUAAUUUUGUCCGACCGAUUAAUUCUAUAUUUUGCUCAAUAAUUUACGGAACUAAUUCAUAUUCGGCUAUAUAGUUUUGGCUCAAAUAAAAUAAGCAAAUGUUAAUAUCACGAUCCAAAAUUGAAGGAUUGUAAUUGACACCCUACUAUCAUAACCCCUCGAGCUAACUUUUAGCCCCACCGUAACUGUUGCAUAUAAAUACAGAAGCAAUGUUUUAGAUAUUUUCACUGAAUUUUUUAUAGUUUUUGUUUGUUUCUAAAACUAAAUAAAGCCUGCAUUGUGCGAUUUUAUUUAUGUCUUUAGGUUUGAUGUUUGCUGAAAUUUGAAGUAUCACUAUUCCAACAAAGGUAUAUUCGUUCUAUUUCAGAAGGAAACAAUCCAACGCCUGCGAGAGUAAAAUUUCUUAAGAACACAAUGAAUUUAGUGGGUUAUGAUUAAUUUAAUAUGUUAUGUUAUUUUAUUUAUUCAAUUUUCUUUACUGUUUCCAACACAAUGCUAACAGUAUCAUAAUACACAUAUUGUAUUUAUUAUGAAGUUUUAGGUGAUUUCAUACCAUAACACAUACAAAGGAGAGACCCAAAUAUUUACCGGUAGAUACAUAAUGAUUAAUUAAUAUAAUAUACCUGAGGUUGACCUCUGGCAGUAGGGUUUUGGCUCCAAAGAGCUGACAUUAACUACAUUAUAGUGAGGUUGUGCUCUGAUUGUUUCUCCAUCAAUAGGCAUUGUUUGGUAAUAUAUCUAAAAAAUACAUAUUGUUACAAUAUGUUUAAUGAUCCAAGCCAUAUAUAGAAGAGAUGAAACUCAAAACAGAAAUUUAUUUUCGUUAUAUAUGCUCUGAUUCUUGGAUCUUUUAAUUUGUUUAUACUAUUAUAUAUAGGAUCA
rnacentral:lncRNA from 1 species